rnacentral:miRNA from 1 species
UAGCCUGGAUCUCUGAUUUGCAGAG